rnacentral:rRNA from 1 species
GGCUCAGGACGAACGCUGGCGGCGUGCUUUAUACAUGCAAGUCGAACGAUGAAGUUCCUUCGGGAAUGGAUUAGUGGCGAACGGGUGAGGAACACGUGAGAAACCUGCCUUUCAUUCUGGGAUAACACCGGGAAACCGGUGCUAAUACCGGAUACUCCGUCUUGGCGGCAUCGCCGAGCCGGGAAAAAAUUUUGAUGAAAGAUGGUCUCGCGGCCUAUCAGCUAGUUGGUGAGGUAAUGGCUCACCAAGGCGACGACGGGUAGCCGGCCUGAGAGGGCGACCGGCCACACUGGGACUGAGACACGGCCCAGACUCCUACGGGAGGCAGCAGUGGGGAAUCUUGCGCAAUGGGCGAAAGCCUGACGCAGCAACGCCGCGUGCGGGAAGAAGGCCUUCGGGCUGUAAACCGCUUUCAGCAGGGACGAAACUGACGGUACCUGUAGAAGAAGGAGCGGCCAACUAUGUGCCAGCAGCCGCGGUGACACAUAGGCUCCGAGCGUUGUCCGGAUUCAUUGGGCGUAAAGAGCUCGUAGGCGGUCGAGUAAGUCGGGUGUGAAAACUCUGGGCUCAACCCAGAGACGCCACCCGAUACUGCUCUGACUCGAGUUCGGCAGGGGAGUGGGGAAUUCCUCGUGUAGCGGUGAAAUGCGCAGAUAUGAGGAGGAACACCGGUGGCGAAGGCGCCACUCUGGGCCGAUACUGACGCUGAGGAGCGAAAGCACGGGUAGCAAACAGGAUUAGAUACCCUGGUAGUCCGUGCCGUAAACGGUGGGCACUAGCUGUGGGUCCCUUCCACGGGAUCCGCGACGCAGCAAACGCAUUAAGUGCCCCGCCUGGGGAGUACGAUCGCAAGAUUAAAACUCAAAGGAAUUGACGGGGCCCCGCACAAGCAGCGGAGCAUGCGGCUUAAUUCGACGCAACGCGAAGAACCUUACCAAGGCUUGACAUAUAGCGAAAAGUGGCAGAGAUGUCAUGUCCGCAAGGGCGCUAUACAGGUGGUGCAUGGUUGUCGUCAGCUCGUGUCGUGAGAUGUUGGGUUAAGUCCCGCAACGAGCGCAACCCUCGUUCUGUGUUGCCAGCAUUUAGUUGGGGACUCACAGGAGACUGCCGGGGUUAACUCGGAGGAAGGUGGGGAUGACGUCAAGUCCUCAUGGCCUUUAUAUCCAGGGCGACACACGUGAUACAAUGGACGGUACAGAGGGACGCCAAGAGGCAACUCGGAGCUAAUCUCAAAAAGCCGUUCUCAGUUCGGAUUGGAGUCUGCAACUCGACUCCAUGAAGUUGGAAUCGCUAGUAAUCGCGGAUCAGCACGCCGCGGUGAAUACGUUCCCGGGCCUUGUACACACCGCCCGUCACACCAUGGGAGCUGACUCAACCAGAAGACGGUCAGGCUAACCUUAACAGGAGGCCUCUGGCGAAGGUGGGGUUGGUGACUGGGGUGAAGUCGUAACAAGGUAGCCGUA